CCUGGUGUGACAAGUGAAAUCUGUGUUGGAAAGUUAUUGUUAAAAAUGUUAUAUUAUAAUGAAGAGUUAUAUUAAAGUGGCUACUAUUAAGUGCUUUCACCACUGUGUAAGUUUUGGAAGUGAAGCAAAUCAAAUGGAUAAUGGUUUGUGUAACGAUUAAAACUUGUCAUCAGCUUUGCAAGAUGCCAAAUACAAACAAUCAUAGAUUGCACUGUUAGCAACCUGUGACCUUAGCAUUCCAUCUUGCUGUUCUGUUGCACUUUGAAAGAUCUAGAUCGGGAAAACUCACAACGCAGGAGAUACCAACUUUGAAGGAAGGUCACCAACAAUGUGAAUUCUUUGGAUGGAACAUCACUAUCUCCUUCUACUACUCUUUACCCAGUCACCAUCAAAGUCAGUUUUAAUUGGAUGCAAACAAGUGCAGCAAACUCCUAUGUUUUCGGUGAACUAUAAACUAUCAUGAGCCAACAAACAUAGACGGGGAUCUCAAAACCAUUUCCUUUUGGACUGCCAAGUCUUCAUCUUUUUCAGCAAAAUAUCUGGCCCUACAAUUUUGUCAGUCUUCAGACAACAAACAAUCAUGCCAUCUUCAUUUUUGUGGCCCACGCAAAAUUUAAAAUCAACAUUGUAAGUUUUGCUGCUUCUUCGCUUCAUCAUCCGUCUUCACCCCGUCGUUGCAUCGUCCGUCACCCCAUUUACGCCUUGCCCGUCGCCCCGUCAUCACUUCGCCCGUCGACCCGCCAUCGCCUCGCCCGUCGCCCCGUCAUCACUUCGCCCGUCGCCCCGCCAUCGCCUCGCCCGUCGCCCCGUCAUCGCCUCGCCCGUCGCCCCGUCAUCGCCUCGCCCAUCGCCGUGUCAUCGCCUCGUGGUCGCCUCGUGGUAUCGUUUUGUUUUUGUUUUGUAUUAUGUAUGUUAACUAACCCAUUGGCUGCCACCCACCCUUUUUGAUCCCCUUUUUUUUUUAGCGUGACAGGGACGGGCCGCGCUGUUCUGCUCCAUGGUCUAUUUGCCAUGGGGUGGAGCAGCGCCACUGCCCAAGAUUGGCCGAAUGGCCCACAGGCAACGCACCGUUAGGGAAUCCCUUUAUCGAGACGGCGAUGUAGACCGGGGGUGUGCGUUCCCAAAAAGGUCUCAUCGCCGUGUCAGCCCGGACUUGUCCUAUGGCAAGUCCCUUUGGCCGCUAUCCGUAUGAUAGCGGUAGUAGCGACUGUAGGUAAGGGUGGCGUGGCAGCCAAUGGGUUAGUUUUAAGUGUAUGUGUGUAUGUAUUUUGUAUUGUAUGUGCAAUAUGUAUAGUGGUGGA